AUGAUGUGGUUUAAUUCGAUGCAACGCGAAAACCUUACCCACCUUUGACAUGUACGGAAUCCUUUAGAGAUAGGAGGGGUGCUCGAAAGAGAGCCGUAACACAGGUGCUGCAUGGCUGUCGUCAGCUCGUGUCGUGAGAUGUUGGGUUAAGUCCCGCAACGAGCGCAACCCUUGUCAUUAGUUGCUACAUUUGGUUGGGCACUCUAAUGAGACUGCCGGUGACAAGCCGGAGGAAGGUGGGGAUGACGUCAAGUCCUCAUGGCCCUUAUAGGUGGGGCUACACACGUCAUACAAUGGCUGGUACAAAGGGUUGCCAACCCGCGAGGGGGAGCUAAUCCCACAAAGCCAGUCGUAGUCCGGAUCGUAGUCUGCAACUCGACUACGUGAAGUCGGAAUCGCUAGUAAUCGUGGAUCAGAAUGUCACGGUGAAUACGUUCCCGGGUCUU
rnacentral:rRNA from 1 species